GUGGUUGGUGAAAGAUCUUGGGAAUGUAUCUACCUUCGGGUCGACUUAUAGCUCAGGGUGUAAUGCAGCCUAUCUGGACCGAGGAACGCGCUUUUGCUCGGAUGCUGGCGUAAUGGUUGUAAGCGG
rnacentral:rRNA from 1 species